GGCUGUGAGGAGCAGGGUUAUGGGCUUUUAGGGCACUGCAGAGCCCAGCAUGGAGCUGCCACCCCUACAGGGUCCCCGGUAGUCACAAAGGGGUGUUGUGAGGUCACUGCCCCGUCCGGCCUGGGGUGGGGCAGGGCCCCCGGAACAGCCCUGUGGCGAGACUCAGCCCCUUUGGGGACUCACUGGCUGUGGAAAAGCACUUCCAGGAACUGGGAUUCCCAGCUGCAGGCAAGUGUCCGGCAGAAGAAGGAGUAGAUGCUUUAGGAAAGUCUGGGUGCCUUGGAUCGGGGGCGGGGGGGAGGGUUUUCAGCAAUCAGUCUGCAGUAUGGCCAACCCCAAACGUUCAAAACUCACGAGAUUGGCUUUAAAAUCAUGAGAUGACAUCAAAAUAAUCGCUUUGGGGGGGUCUUUUUAUUUGCCUUCUGCUUGCUGAGCUGUUAGCGUGCCCUGGGGUCCCGUUUGGUAGCUUUCUCCACAGCCAGGAGGGCUCGAAACUUACUUUUUCUUGGCGACUGAAGGCUGAAAUCAUCACAGAGCCAGGUGACUCCAGGAGCUGGGGCUUUGCGGAAAACAAUCAUUCUCCUGAAACUCGUGGCAAACUCCUGAGGUUGGCAGUGCUGAGUCUUUAUUCUCAGGGAUUCCCCAGAGCGCUGCUCAGACAAGGCUGAAGUAGGGAGCAAAACCGCUGCCUUUCCCAAGGGUUGGCUCAGUGGCUCGGUGAGCAGCAGGGUGUCCCCAGGACCAGUCCAAGCCUGAAGGCCCCAGGAGGCAGGGAAGUCGCCUGGCUCAGGCUGGGAACGCUGGCCCCCAGAGAACUGGCCUGGCUCCCUUCUCAGCAGCAAAGAAGUCAAUUCCCCCACCCUGAUAAGUCAGCCUGGAGCUAAGGGCAGAGCUGGGGGUGUCUCCUUUCACUCCCGCUGGGGAGUGCGAGGUCCCGGGGGCCUUUUGGAACUGAAUUGGGGACACCAGCCUGUCAGAACUGAGAGCUCAGGUUCCGACUAAUCUUUUUAAUAAUCUGAUCUAAUCCUUCAAUCCCAGUGUCACCAUCAAUAGAACUGUGUCCGCCUUGUAGGUUACCAAGGGUGAAACCCAACAGCUCUUGGAAUCCAGGAGAGGGGAGAUGAAUCACUUGUCAGAGUCACUGCGCAUAGAGGAAUCCUGUUGUGUUACAAUCCUUGGGUCCUGGAAAAAACAAAGUGGAGUCCUUGUGGCACCUUAGAGACUAACAAAUGUAUUUGGGCAUAAGCUUUCGUGGGCUAAAACCCACUUCUUGAACCCACCACGAAAGCUUAUGCCCAAAUACAUUUGUUAGUCUCUAAGGUGCCACAAGGACUCCUCGUUGUUCUUGCUGAUACAGACUAACACGGCUGCCCCUCUGAAACUUGUGCCCUGGCGCCAUGUGGCCAUUUCCUUUCCCUCCCUUCGGAGAAAAGUUUUGUUAUUUUGCACAGAAACGUUAUUUCCUCAGGAGAGACCCAGGAGCGGGAGCUGCCUUCAUGUCCCACACACCCACUAGCAAGUGACGGACGAACACGUGUCAUGGAGACGAGGUGGCCGUCCCUGUUAAAAAUCAUCUCUCUUCUUCAGCUCAGUGACAGCCUGCAUCGUCCCCGAUCCCGGCAGAGCCCCAGGCCUGGAAUCAGCAACACACCCCUCUGGAGGUAGCAGGAACAAACAGAAACAUUUGCUUUAAAAGGCGCUGGCUCCUUCCUUCUCUGAUUCUUCUGUGUUCCUGUAAUAAUACCACAAACCAAAGUUCAGCAGGAAUGUGGACACAGGCCCUUCCCUCAGCCUGAAUCAUCCCUUAUCGCCACAGAGCCCGAGGACUGGAAUGAGCAACAUCAAACCCUGCUGUACAUAGCGGGAAUAAACACAAACAUUUACUUUAAAAGGAGCUGUCUCCGCUAAGGGUUGUCAUUCCGGUCAUUUAACUUUGUUUCCCUUCUCUGAGGGGAGGGGUGGGGUUGGCGACACUGUUAUGCUUAUAAGAAGCACACGGGAUCUUUUUCAGGGGAAAAGGCAAUAUGCCGGGUUUAUUGAAGAUCCAACAAUCAGCAUAUGCAUUUAAUUACACCCCCCCCCCCCCACACACACACACUGUCCCACUAGUCAAUGUUAUAGUUACCAGUACAGAGUUGGGAUCGAUCUAGUGGCCAGCUAGGUUGAUCACGGGUAGGGAGGAGUCGGGUUCUGUCGGUCACGAUACGAUGCUCCAGGGAAGUCUUGGCAGGAUGAACCCAAAGUUUCAUGGCAAGGCACCCUGUUUAUGUAGUGAUUUUCCUUCACUGGGGCCGAUGAGUUUUGCACCGUCAUGCUGUAAUUAAUUGUUGUUUGACGAGUGCUUGUUUUUUUAAAUUGAACUUUUCAUUCUUUAUUUUGUUCUUUUAUCAAGUCUUUCAGGGAGUUAUCCCAUGCUGGUUUUGAUCACCGCUAUCUUGUCCCCAUUGAUAGGUGCCUGUCUCAUCUUUAGAGUCGUUAAUCUGCCCUCUUCUGAUAUCUCAGUAGGGGUGUGUUGUAGCCUCCUGGCGCUCUUGGGGUCUGGCUCCGGUUCCUCCCUCGUACAUCUGGUUCAGCAAUGGCCUUCACACUUAUCUCGUAACACACAUUCCUCAUUCACACACAAAACAGAAUUGAUUUACACGGAACAUUUUGAACAGGAACAUCAAAUUGCAAUGCAAAGGAAAAACAAUCAUUGCAUUCUUUUACUUAUUUUAAAAUGCUAAACCUACAGCAAAGUGGUGACCUUAAAAGGUCUGUUACUGCCUUGAAAUCAGCCCAGACACAGAUUCCCGCGGAUGUAUCUUUACCAAAUGGCCCAUUAGGCCAUUCCUUACCGCUAUUCAAAAAGGGUGGCUGGCAGGAUAUGAUUAAAUCAUACACCAAUACAUUUCAUACAUGCUACGUUAUUAUUUUUAUUAUUUUUUAUUUUUUUAUGCUUUAUUUUAAAUUAUACAGAAUACCAACAUAAAAUCCUACUCCUACAACACCUCACCCCGGGAUGUAGCACACCUCUCCCCAUCUUUCAGUCACUGUGGGAACCUGUCUCUGCUCAGAACUGACAGGUUGCUGCCUGUCCACCCAUCUGGUGUGCAGGAAUGAAUCAUUUUACUAGUACGUGUGACACCUGGGACAGCUGCUUUUUGCAGUUGCAUUGGUGGUAUAGUGGUGAGCAUAGCUGCCUUCCAAGCAGUUGACCCGGGUUCGAUUCCCGGCCAAUGCAGGGAUGUGUUUUUGCCUUCCCUGGAAUAGGUUUAAUGUCAGUCACGUUCUCUAUGUCCCAAAUCCCAGCAGGUCACUGAACACACAGCAGGGGAUAAGACUGUGCAGUGAGCUGUAGGAAGCAUCCUUGUGUCACUGGAGAAAGUCAGAAACCAUGGGAACAUGCAUCUAUAGCUCCUUGUCUGGUUUGCACCGUACUCAGGGGACAAAGUGCAAAUAUAAAGUUUUGUGACAGUUUUUGCCGCUACAGAUUCUUUUGUUUUCCAGGAACGAUAUCAUACUGGAAGACAGGAUAUUGGGCUAGAUGGACCUUCGUCUGACCCAUUAGGGCCAUUCUUAUGUUCUUAAAAAUGGUGCAAAUAAUCGUAUCCUUCUAGAAUGUAACUUUAGCUUGUACUCACCUUAGCAGUGCCACUUAAAAAAAAUUACGUAACACAAAACUUUAGACACUCUGCAGAUGAAGCUCGCUUAUUUUCAAAUUGUAUUUUUAGUUAUAGUUGUAAAGUAACUUAAAAUUCGUAUGAAAGUAAAUGCAGUUCCAAGUAUGAUACUAAUACCAAUGAUGGGGUGAACUAUUAGUGAGUCACGUACAUGAUUGUGAUCGGUAAACCUAAGUGCCAAAAUAAUUCGAAAACUAAAUUCCCUUUCUUAAUAAAGGAGAAAAAACCUUAAUCGCAUAUGUUAGAAUUAAGUAAAUAUGUUUUUUAGUGGAGUGAAAAACAAUUGACUAAAAUAGAGGUGUUAAUGGCAGAAACAUUGAGUGUUUCCAUUAGAGAAAGUAAGCAGAUUUUAUUUAUUUUUAUUUCUCUCUACUAAAAAUAGUGUACAACGUAUCAAACGUGUGUUUCUGAGGUCUGCGUUAAAGCUCCAGGACUGAUACUUCAAGGUUUGGGAUUGGGAAUAUCUUGCUGUAUUAGCUCCUGAUUGCUCUAAAUUGACAUAGAAAUUUAAAAUGUGGCUUUAACUGGA